CGGCGAGUGAAGCGGCAACAGCUCAAAUUUGAAAUCUGGCUCUUUUAGGGUCCGAGUUGUAAUUUGCAGAGGGCGCUUUGGCGUUGGCAGCGGUCCAAGUUCUUUGGAACAGGACGUCACAGAGGGUGAGAAUCCCGUACGUGGUCGCUAGCCUUCGCCGUGUAAAGCCCCUUCGACGAGUCGAGUUGUUUGGGAAUGCAGCUCUAAAUGGGAGGUAAAUUUCUUCUAAAGCUAAAUACUGGCCAGAGACCGAUAGCGCACAAGUAGAGUGAUCGAAAGAUGAAAAGCACUUUGGAAAGAGAGUCAAAUAGCACGUGAAAUUGUUGAAAGGGAAGCGCUUGCAGCCAGACUUGCCUGUAGUUGCUUAUCCGGACUUUUGUCCGGUGCACUCUUCUGCGGGCAGGCCAGCAUCAGUUUAGGCGGUUGGAUAAAGGUCUCUGUCAUGUACCUCCCUUCGGGGAGGCCUUAUAGGGGAGACGUCAUGCAACCAGCCUGAACUGAGGUCCGCGCAUCUGCUAGGAUGCUGGCGUAAUGGCUGUAAGCGGCCCGUCUUGAAACACGGACCAAGGAGUCUAACAUCUAUG
rnacentral:rRNA from 1 species